ACUCAACGCAACUAGAGAAAGCCCUCACACAGAAACGAAGACCCAACACAGCCAAAAAUAAAUAAAUAAAUAAAAUUUAAAAAAUAAAAAAUAAUGAGUGGUGUCAAUUCCAUUUCCACCUUGAUUCCUGGACUCAUGAAUCCUAGGUUUGGGAGAAACAGCACCAUAUAUUGGACGUUGAUUCAGGGCAUAUACAGCAUUCUGGAGACCCUUGCUCCAGCCCUGUAAGGUGUGGCCACCUAGCUGGCACUAUAACUGAGUCUUCAAAAGGCCAUUCCACCAUUCUGUCAAGACAACUGCUUCAGGAUGGUGGGGAACAUGGUAAGACCAGUGAAUUCUAUAAGCAUGGACCAAUUGCCACUUUUUUUUUUCCUAUGAAGUGAGUUCCUUGAUCAGAAGCAAUGCUGUGUGGAAUACCAUGGUGGUGGAUAAGGCAUUCUGUAAGUCCAUGGUUGGUAUCUUUGGCAGAAGCAUUGGGUGCAGGGAGGGAAAAUUACAUCCAGAGUGUCUACUCCAGUAAGAAUAAAAUGCUUCCCCUUCUGUACACGAAGCAGUCCAGUGUAAUGAACCCUCUUCUGGCAUGCACCCACCAGGUAGCUGUCUGAUCACUGCAGGAAAUGUUGCCAUAUUUGGGGCUCAGUGUUGGUCUCUGCCACUGAAGAUUGGGCAGUUAUUGGUGGCCGUAGCUUGGUCAUCCUUGGUGAGUGGAUGUCCAUGUUGCAAAGCCCAUGUAUAACUGCCAACCCUGCCCUGCCACCAUGGCCAGUUUGUUAAUGAGCCCAUUGGGUGAUGACGGGUGGCUGGGGAAAGAGGCUGACUGGUAUCAACAGAAUGGGUCAUCCUGUCCACUCGGUUAUUAAAAUCCUCUGCUGAUGUAAGCUUUUGGUGAGCAUUCACAUGGGACACAAAUAUCUUCAUGUUUUUUGACCAUUCAGAGAGGUCUAUCCACAUACCUCUUUCCCAUAUUUCUUUGUCACCAAUUUUCAAAUCAUAUUUCUUCCAUGUCCCUAACCAUGCAGACAAACCUUUGGUCACAGCCCAUGAAUUGGUAUAUAAUCACAGAUCUGGCCUUUUCUCCUUGUAAGCAAUGUGCACAACUAAGUGAACUCCCCAAAGUUCUGUCCACUGAGAGAAUUUCUCUUCACCACUAUCCUUCAGGGAUGUCCCAGAGAAAGGCCGUAGUGUUGCAGCUGUCCACAUUCAGGUGGUGCAUGUAUAUCAUGCAGAACCAUCUCUAAACCAGGCCCAGAUCUUCUCUUCCCCUGUCAACUGAUCACAGGGAACUCCCCAUGAGGCUCCCCUGCUUGGGCCUGACUUUGUAUAUAUCAGUUCCAUUUGAUGAUGGAGUGUACUGUGCAGGCCCACUUUAUGGCGUGGUGGGUCAGAUAAUAGCCAUUUCAUGAUGGGCAACUUGGUGGCCCAUCAUCAAGCAUUCAGUAGCUACUAUGGCCCACUAAUACACCAAGAGCUGUUUCUCAGAAGGAGAGCAGUCAUCUGAAGGUGAUGGCACGGCAUUGCUCCAAAAUCUUAAAGGCCUGCAGUGUGAUUUACCUAUAGGAGCCUGACAAAGGCUCCAAACGGUGUCCAUACCUGCCAGAGAGACUUCAAGCGCCAUUGGAUGUGCUGGAUCAUAUGGCCCAAGUGGCAGAGCAGUUUGCACAGCAGCCUGGACCUGGGGCAGAGCCUUCUCUGCUUCUGGGCCCCACUCAAAACUAACAGUUUUUCAGGUCACUUAGUAAAUGGACUGGAGUAACACACCAAAUGAGGAAGGAAUAUGUUGCCUCCGAAAUCCAAAGAGGACCACUAGGUAUUGAGCCUCUUUCUUGGUUGUAGGAAAGCCAGAUUCCACUUCCUCUUUAUCUUAGAAGUGAUAUAUUGACAUGCUCCAUACCACAGGACCCCUAUAAAUUUCACUGAGGUAGAAGUGAAUUUUAGUCAGAUUUAUUUCCCACCCUCUGACACGCAAAUGUCUUACCAAUUAGCCUAGGGUUGUUACUACUACUCACUCACUAGGUGUAAUCAACAUAAUAUCAUCAAUAUAAUGGACCAGUAUGAUAUCCCGUGGAAGGGAAAGGUGAUUGAGAUCCCUGCAAACUAAAUUAUGAAUAGGGCUGGAGGGUUGAUAUGCCUCUGAGGGAGAACAGUGUAUGUGCAUUGCUAACCUUGCCAGUUGAAAGCAAACUGCUGCUGGCGGACCUUAUGGACAAGUAUGGAGAAAAAGACAUUUGCCACAUCAAUAGCUGCAUACCAGGUACCCCGGGAUGUGUUAAUUUGCUCAAGCAAUGAAACCAUAUCUGGUACAGCACCUGCAAUUGGAGGCACCACCUGGUUAAGCUUACAAUAAAGUAAUCCACUGUCAUUCUCCAAGAUCCACCUGUCUUUUGCACAGGCCAAAUAGAGAUGAAUGAGGAUGUGGUGUGAAUCACCACCCCUGCAUCCUUCCAAGUCCUCGAUAGUGGCAGUAGUAUCUGUGAUCCUUCGAGGGAUGUGGUAUUACUUUUGGUUUAUUAUUUUCCUAGGUAGAGACAGUACUGAUAGCUUCCACUUAGCCUUUUCUACCAUAAUAGCCCUCACUGCAUAAGUAGGGAACCAAUGUGAGGAUUUUUCCAGCUGCUAAUAUGUCUUUUCCAAUUAUGUAUUCUGCAACUGGGUAAAUAACCACAGGGUGGGUUCAGAGAGCCACUGGACCUACUGUGAGAUGGGCCUGAGCUAAAGCUCCAUUGACCACCUGACCUCCGUGAGCACCUAAUCUGACUGGAGGGCCACAGUGAUGUUUUGGGUCUUCGGGAAUCAGUGUCAGUUCAGAUCCACUGUCUGGUAGUCUCUGAAAGGUAUGAUUAUUUCCUUUCCCCCAAUGUACAGUUACCCUGGUAAAGGGCCACAGGUCCCUCUAGGGAAGGCUGGGAGAAAAGUUAACUGUACAAAUUUUCAUUAGUGUAUCAGGGUCCUUCCUCAAGGGGAACUGGUCUCCCAUUCAUUCAAGGGGUUUGGGGUCUGUAAACUGGCUUAACUCUGGGAAUUGAUUGAAUGGCUGUGACUCUCUGUUUUUCUGAGUUAAGUGACUUUUGUUCACUUGACUUAGAGCUUUUCUGCUUAUUUAGAUCAAGAGAGAAUUUCCAUUUCUCUUCUAGGAGCAUCGUGAUUAACUCACCAAGACCAAAAGUUUGCAUGAGUCUGACUUUUCUGAUUGCUGCUUUGUCUCUACUGUUCAUUAUGGCCCUCAAUGAUUGGAUGAUGCCCAGCUGCACUGGUGAGGGUGACCUUUUUUUUUUUUUUUACUACGUCUACUGAUUCAAAUGCUAAUCUCUUCCAGAAAUACAGACACACCCAGAAAUCAUGUUUUAGCAGCUAUCUGGGCAUCCCUUAGCCCAGUCAAGAUGGUACAUAGAAUUAACUGUUACAGGGAUAUAAAUAGACCCCACAUAUCAAGGGGAGUAGGGUCAAAGAAGUUGCAGCCCUCUCUAAGCUACCAAAUGUAUCACACUCUCUUGGUGAGAUUAUGGGGAACAAAAUUCACAUACAGUGCAGGUGGUAAAGACAACUGGUAGAACCUCUAUGGAGUGGAAUUUGUUGAUAUUCAGCAAAAAUACAUGUGCACUUAACCUUGCACUCAGCAAUCCUUCUGGAAUUUUAUCCUAAAGAUAUACUUCAAAACUUUGAAAUUACUUUGGUAUAAGGUUAUUUGUGGCAUAUAAUGGCAAAAGAUUGGGAGCCUACCCACACCAAUGCCUACCCACAGAGGACUAGUUGAAUAAAAUAUGAUACUUCCACACAAUGGAUACGUGGCAACAUUUAAAAUGGAUAAGCACGAUUUCCAUACACUGAUAUGACAUGAUCUCCAGGACCUGUUCUUAAGGGAUACAACGCUAUAUUCAUCACGUUACAUGUAAUAUACAGCUGCUCUUUUUGUAAGAAAGAGGAUUGGUUCAGAUAGGCACAUUUAUUUUCUUUUAUUUGCAAAAAAAAGAAAGAUUGGAAAAAUAAACCAAAAGUUAAUAAAAUGGUUACUUAGAGGGGAAUAGGGAAAAUAAGAUGGGGGAGAGUUCAGAAUAGAAAUAAGACUUAUUUGAACAGCACUGGUUAUAUGGUUCAGUUUGGGAUCAUGUAAAUGACUGAUAUAAAGAAAAAUUGACCCCUAAAAUACCAAUUACUCAAAAUUGGAAACAAAUAAAUAAACCUAAACACAUAUCAUGUUGAUGACAUAACCACACAGACAAAAGAAUUGUUUCAAGUGACUUUCAAACAGUCUUAUUGUUAGUAAUAAUAUUGGUAUAAUUACUUUGACUGUAUUUGAUAUACAGCAUAGGAUAAAGCAAAAGGUAGGAAAGUUAAUGUCACAGAAAAAAGUUACAAGUAAGCAAUCAAAGAAGUCAAAUUAAAAUUUUAUUAUCUUUCAUUUUGAAAGAAAGUAUUAAUAUGAAUUCAUGAUUUUUUGGUCGACUUAUUCAUGUAUAAUUUAUAUACAAUAUCAUGAAUGCACCCACUCUAAGUGUAACAGUAUGAUGAGUUUUGACACGUAAUACAUAAGUAUCAACAUAUGGAUCAAUACCAUUACCUCCCAAAUUUCCUUGUGCCCCUGAGCAGUCAGUGCCCCUAUUCUCUACCUUAUGCAGCCACUGAUAUGAUUUCUGUCACUAUAGAAUGUAGCCUAUUCUAGAAUUUCAUAUAAAUUCAAUCAAAUAAUAUUAUCUGAGUCUUGCUUUGUUCACUUGGCUUUUUUUUUCUUUCUGAGAUUCAUCCAUGUUGUUGCUUGUAUCAGCAGUAUUCCAUUAUAUGAUUCUAACAAAACUUGUUUUUUCAAUCAUCUGUUAAUGAAUCUUUGGGUUGUUUCCAGUAUUUUACCUGUUUGUAAGUAAAGCUGCAAUGGACAUGCAUAUACAAGUCUUUUGGAGAACAUGUGUUUAAUUUUUGCCGGGUAAACAUCCAAGAGUAGAGUUAUUGGGCAUAGAAUAAGUGUAUAUUUCAUCUUAUGAGAAACUGCCGAAAAUGUGUUCCAAAGUCGUUAUAACAGUUGAAACUCCCACCAACAAUGGUUGAGUACUCCAGUUACUCUACCCUCCAGACUCCUGGUGCCAUCAGACUUUUAAUUGUACCAUUUUGGUAGAUUUGUAGUGGUAUAUACUUGUGGUUUAACUUGCAUUUCCCUUAUGACUAAUGACCUUGAGCAUUUUUUUCAUGUAUUUACUAACCAUUUUUAUGUCUUCUUUUGGAAGUGUUUUCAUGUAUAUGUACAUUGAAUAUUUUCUCCCAGUCAUUUUCUCACCAGUGUCUUGGGAGAACAGAGAAUUUUAAUUUUGAUUAAAUCUAAUUUACCAAUUAUUUUAUGGUUAGUGCUUUUUGUAUGCUGUAUAAAAUUAUUGCUUACCCUAAUAUUACAUAGAUUUCCCCCCCCUAUUUUGGGGAGAGUUCUUUUGUUUUAACUUUUAUAGUUGCAUCUGUGAUGCAUCUUGAGUUUAUUUCUGUUUACUAUGGAAGGUGGUGGCGGGUUUUCUUCUUUAUUUUUAAAUAAAAAUAUUCAGUUGUGGCAGAGAUCAAGAUGGUAGAGUAGGAGGAUGCUGGGCUCACCUUCCCUCAUCAACACAUCAAAACUACAAGUGCAUAUAGAGAGACUCUCACUGAAAUAGACCUGGGGACUAGCAAGAAAGCUCUUCCACAACCAAGAAUGUAAAUAAAGAUCCACCCAGAGUCUGUUACGAAGAGAGGAGAAGUGAUUUGGUUGGGACCCACAUCCCUAGCAGGGGACACACAAGAGGAGGGGGAUAUCACAGGCUCGGGGAUCUUCCUGGGGGGUGAGAGCUUUGAGCCACAUCUUAGGAACCACAGCCCUGGGGUCCAACACCAAGAAGAUGAGCCCCCUUAGCUGGUUUGAAAACCAGUGAGACUUAACCAGACGACUAUAAGAAACCGAGACUCUGCUCUUAAAGAACACAUGCACAGACUUGCUCACUCACAGUCACAGUGUGGAGGCAGCAGAUUGAAAACUGCCUGGGGUUCUGGCUGGCCUGCCAGAACUGCCCUGGCACCUGUUCCCAGCUCCCCUCCCCAGCCUGCACUGAGCUCCUGCCCCAGCCACUCUUUCUCUCCACUAAGGUAGAGGCUGCCAUUGCCAACAAGAGUGUACACACUUAGAGGGAAUGGAGCUGGCUCAGACGCUGGCCCUGCCUCUGACCAGGACAGAGGCAGCCACUGCCAGCACAUGCAUCAGUGCACACACUUGGGAGGGAGCAAAACUAACUCCAUGACGGAAAACACCAUCACUGGAGCGUGUGUCCCUGUGCAUACUCAGAGAGUGGGGGGUGAAAUAAACUCAGUAAUGUGAUGCCAACCCCUCCAGCUCUGACCUAGCCUCUAACCAGGGUAUGCACACCUGGGAAAAAGUGAAAUGAGCACAGAAGAACAGUCCCAAGCCCUCAGGACCCAGCCACACCCCAAACCAAGAUGGGGACUGCCAUCACAACCUGGAGAAACCCAACUCCCUCAGGGCUCCUGCUCCAGCCCUUUGGACACUGCCUCCACUCCUGACAGGGAGUGCUGAACAUUAAGCAUGGGAGAGGCUCAGGCUUACACCUGGAAUUGACUCUAGCCCCUGAAACUCCAGCCAUACCUCCCACCAAGGCAGUGGUGGCCAGCACACCCCAGAGGAUGACACAGCCAGUGCUCACUUCAGAUCCCGGUUUCCCAGCAAAGCCACUGGGCACAUGUAGACUGCAUAGGGAUGCCCCCACACAGGACAUGUCUUUAAGACCAAGACAGUUAACUGUUUCACCUAAUUUCAUAGAAAUAGAGAAAAUUAAACAAAAUGAGAAGACAGAGGAAUAUGUUUCAAAUAAAAGAAUAAGAAAAAACAAACCUGAAAAAAACCAACUAAUGAAAAAGAGAUAAAUAAUUUACCAGAUAAAAGUUCAAAACUUUAGUAAUAAGCAUGCUAAUUGAACUUGGGAAAAGAAUAGAUGAACAUGGAAUUUUAA